rnacentral:rRNA from 1 species
CACGUAGGCACCAAGCGUUGUCCGGAUUUAUUGGGCGUAAAGAGCUCGUAGGCGGUUCAGUAAGUCGGGUGUGAAAACUCUGGGCUCAACCCAGGGACGCCACCCGAUACUGCUGUGACUUGAGUACGGUAGGGGAGUGGGGAAUUCCUGGUGUAGCGGUGAAAUGCGCAGAUAUCAGGAGGAACACCAGUGGCGAAGGCGCCACUCUGGGCCGUAACUGACGCUGAGGAGCGAAAGCGUGGGGAGCAAACAGG